AACAAGGUCUCCGUUGGUGAACCAGCGGAGGGAUCAUUAUCGAGUUAUUCAACUCCCAAACCCUAUGUGAACUUACCACUUGUUGCUUCGGCGCGCGCUUCGGCGCCGCCGAGGACACUUAAACUCUUUGUUUUUAUAAGCAUUUCUGAGUGGCCGAAAGGCAAAAAUACAAAUGAAUCAAAACUUUCAACAACGGAUCUCUUGGUUCUGGCAUCGAUGAAGAACGCAGCGAAAUGCGAUAAGUAAUGUGAAUUGCAGAAUUCAGUGAAUCAUCGAAUCUUUGAACGCACAUUGCGCCCGCCAGCAUUCUGGCGGGCAUGCCUGUUCGAGCGUCAUUUCAACCCUCGAGCCCGACUCUUUUGAGGACGGCUCGGCGUUGGGGGACGGCAGACUCCCCCCGGCAUCUCGCCGGGGACGCCGCCCCCGAAAUCUAGUGGCGGCCCUCCGAGGCGACCUCUGCGUAGUAACUUGUUCUCGCACCGGAAAACUCAGAGCGGCCACGCCGUAAAACCCCAACUUUUUUCAGGUUGACCUCGAAUCAGGUAGGACUACCCGCUGAACUUAAGCAUAUCAAUA
rnacentral:rRNA from 1 species